rnacentral:rRNA from 1 species
GGAGGUAGUGACAAGAAAUAACAAUACGGGACAAAGUCUUGUAAUUGGAAUGAUGGAGAUAUAAAUCUCUUCCAGAGUAGCAAUUGGAGGGCAAGUCUGGUGCCAGCAGCCGCGGUAAUUCCAGCUCCAAUAGCGUAUAUUAAAAUUGUUGCAGUUAAAGAGCUCGUAGUUGAAUUUUUGCUGGUUAUUACAAAUUACCUCUCGGUCGAUUGUAAUUACCCGGCAUUUGUCGAUAUAUUAGCAUUAGGUUAAUUUAUCGAUAGGUUACUUUGAGAAAAUUACAGUGCUUAUAGCGGGCAGUGCCUUGAAUAGUUUAGCAUGGAAAAACAUAGUAGGACU